ACAGUUAACUACUUACCUGUGGCAGGUGAGAAAUGCAAAUGGUGGACGCCAAGAUGUGAUGAAUGCGGAAAUGCAGUUUUCGUUAGAUUUUAUUCGAAUCUAAACAACCAUUGGAUUAUUUUUCCAUAACUCCAAGGAAAAAAAUUGACUUUGAGUGUUAGCAUAUAAGACAGUUGACGGGAAAACACUUUCCCAAAAGUUUACUGAAACCGGAAAUCAAAAUUUGAAGAAAACAAUGUAUCAGAAUAAACAAAACAGUUACAGAUCUAGAAGUCCAGGCGAGGUGAUCGGGGAAUGCCUCCAUAAUGUAUUUAGUUCGGGCUUCCUGCUCAUCUCCGGUCUAUUGUUGGUGUUUUCUUCGCUGGUGUCUAUCGUCAGCUGUUUGCUGCCCUUCUGGUUCAAGUUGACACUGUACAACCAGGUGUUUGGAGACGAGGUAAAGCCCAACGACAUUGAAAUUGAUACUGGACUGUACUUCAUGGACAAAGACAGAUUUAUCAAUUUAUUGAUGAUAGAUAAAGCAUCAAGUGUCCAGCUCAUGCCAGAUUAUUUGAAAUUUGCCCAGUUGCUAUACCUGGUUGGUACCAUUGGUAUAUUGGUAUGCACAGCCUCAGCCAUAUUGUUACUGACACGUGACAAGACCGUUGUUUCUGCAGAGAUGGCUUUAGCUGGUGCUACUGUUGCAAUAGCUUUAUGUCAAGUUUUAGGAGUUAUACUUUGUGUCAUGCAAUUACUUGUUGAUGACCAGGCCAUGUGGCAGGACCUCCCAGUCAAGGAUGCCAUCCCAAACCGUUUUGGUUACUACAAAGUCUUAGAAGCCUAUCCUAAGAUAGAAUUCAACUGGGGAUUCUACUUUGCAGCAGCUGCAGCUUUGUUCUCUCUCGUCUCUGCCAUUUGUGUAGUCAUACAGAUGUUUGCAUCCUGCAACCGUCUUAGCCACAUUCGGUACCAGAUGUUGAGAGAGAAGCCAGACGAGGGAACCAGUCCUAUACCUGGUUACCCGUAUUAUGCUAACAAGGGCUACGACCGACAACCUGGUGAAUUUCUACUUUGACCUUUCAAUGCUGUUGCUACCUUCAUUGCUUCAUCUGUCAAGGAGGAUAUGGUUUACCACCGCAUGAAGAACGACCUCUUAUGUAUACAGUUCAUCCAUACCCACUUCCUUCAGCCACAGAAGUAGAUCUGUAAUUUUCCAGGAUGUAUACUGGUACCUCACAAAGGGGCAUUUUGGAACCAGUUUAUAACUCAAAAAAAUAUGGAUUUUUGAACACUGCUGACAAUUCUAGUCUUAAAAUUAGAGAAACAUUAUAGAUUUCAUUUCUGUCUUUUUAUUAUUAUUUUGGUUACAGUUAAGUAAAGAAAUCUUUUGAAAAUGUUUAAACAUGAGGUUUUGAUGAUACAUUUUUAAUUGCUUACUGCAAGUCAUUUUCUUAUUCAUUCAAAGUAUCUCUUUACGAACAAUAAAUAUAUUUUAGAUAAUAGUGGAUUAAUUAAAUAAGGAUUUUCCCAAGAAAUAUAAAAUUGAGUCAGAUUGGCAUUCUGUGUAUGUAAGAGGUUUGAGAUCAAGGGGCAAUGACACUGGUGUUUUGGAGAAAAAUUUCAAUAUCUUUUAAAAUUUUAUAAAAUGAAUUAUAAUUAAAUAUAUACUAGAUAAACAAACCAAAAUCCAUCUUUUUUUUAAAAUUUUGAACAAAAAAAUUGUAAAGUGCCAGAUAUUGAAAAAAUACAUCUUUUCAUCAAAUAGAAUUGUAUCAUUGUAUUGAAAUUCUCAUUGAAAUAAACCAAUUCAAAAUUAAGUUUUAUAAGAGCAAAAAUGAAAGAACAUUGCCACAAAAAGAAGAACAAAUUCAUCAGUAUUAUUGCCUCAUGUUAUAUUAUUUUGUAAACUCAGAUCUGAAAACAAUAAGAUGGUUGUGAACUUGUGUUCAUUCCUAAUUCAUUACUCAUACUGUCAGCUGUGCCAUACAUUGUACAUAGUCAUAUAUAUAUAUAUCACAUGAUCAAUUUUGAUACUGUAUAUUUUGAAAAGGACAUUGGAUUAUAUUGUUAAUAUUUUUAUAUACUAAGAAAUUUAAACUUGAAUAAUUCUUCGUAAGAUUCAUGUUUACAUGUAUUUUGAAGUUAAAUAUUUUAUAUUAUACUUUUUAGCUCACCUGACCUGAAAGGUCAAGUGAGCUUUUCUCAUCACUUUGCGUCCGUCGUCCGUCGUCCGUAAACUUUUACAAAAAUCUUCUCCUCUGAAACUACUGGGCCAAAUUUGACCAAACUUGGCCACAAUCAUCAUUGGGGUAUCUAGUUUAAAAAAUGUGUCCGGUAACCCGGCCAACCAACCAAGAUGGCCGCCAUGGCUAAAAAUAGAACAUAGGGGUAAAAUGUAGAUUUUGGCAUAUAUCUCUGAAACCAAAGCAUUAAGAGCAAAUCAGACAUGGGGUAAAUUGUUUAUCAGGUCAAGAUCUAUCUGCCCUGAAAUUUUCAGAUGAAUCGGACAACCCGUUGUUGGGUUGCUGCCCCUGAAUUGGUAAUUUUAAGGAAAUUUUGCCGUUUUUGGUUAUUAUCUUGAAUAUUAUCAUAGAUAGAGAUAAACUGUAAACAGCAAUAAUGUUCAGCAAAGUAAGAUCUACAAAUAAGUCAACAUGACCAAAAUGGUCAGUUGACCCCUUAAGGAGUUAUUGCCCUUUAUAGUCAAUUUUUAACCAUUUUUCGUAAAUUUUUGUAAUCUUUUACAAAAAUCUUCUCCUCUGAAACUACUAAGACAAAUUUAACCAAACUUGUCCAUAAUCAUCAUUAGGGUAUUUAGUUUAAAAAAUGUGUCCGAUGACCCUGCUCGCGAACCAAGAUGGCUGACAUGGCUAAAAAAUAGUACAUAGGGUAAAAUGCAGUUUUUGGCUCAUAUCUCUGAAAUCAAAGCAUUUAGAGCAAAUCUGAUGGGAUAAAAUUGUUCAUUAGGUCAAGAUCUAUCUGCCCUGAAAUUUUCAGACCAAUCAGGCAACCCGUUGUUGGGUUGCUGCCCCUGAAUUGGUAAUUUUAAGGAAAUUUUGCCGUUUUUGGUUAUUAUCUUGAAUAUUAUUAUAGAUAGAGAUAAACUGUAAACAGCAAUAAUGUUCAGCAAAGUAAGAUCUACAAAUAAGUCAACAUGACCAAAAUGGUCAGUUGACCCCUUAAGGAGUUAUUGCCCUUUAUAGUCAAUUUUUAACCAUUUUUCGUAAAUUUUUGUAAUUUUUUACAAAAAUCUUCUCCUCUGAAACUACUAAGACAAAUUUAACCAAACUUGUCCACAAUCAUCAUUAGGGUAUCUAGUUUAAAAAAUGUGUCCGAUGACCCUGCUCGCGAACCAAGAUGGCUGACAUGGCUAAAAAUUAGUACAUAGGGUAAAAUGCAGUUUUUGGCUCAUAUCUCUGAAACCAAAGCAUUUAGAGCAAAUCUGAUGAGAAUAAAAUUGUUCAUUAGGUCAAGAUGUAUCUGCCCUGAAAUUUUCAGACCAAUCAGGCAACAUGUUGUUGGGUUGCUGCCCCUGAAGUGGUAAUUUUAAGAAAAUUUUGCAGCUUUUGGUUAUUAUCUUGAAUAUUAUAAUGAUAGAGAUAAACUGUAAACAGCAAUAAUGUACAGCAAAGUUAGAUCUACAAAUAAGGCAACAUGACCAAAAUUGUCAAUUGACCCCUUAAGGAGUUAUUGCCCUUUAUAGUCAAUUUUUUACAAUUUUCAUAAAUUUUGUAAAUUUUUGUAAAUUUUUACAAAGUAUUUUCCACUGUAAUUACUGGGCCAAGUUCAUUAUAGAUAGAGAUAGUAGUAAGGAGCAAGCAUGUUCAGUAAAGUAAGAUCUACAAACACAUCACCAUCACCAAAACACAAUUUUGUCAUGAAUCCAUCUGUGUCCUUUGUUUAAUAUGCACAUAGACCAAGGUGAGCGACACAGGCUCUUUAGAGCCUCUAGUUAUCAUUUACUUAUAUAAAAAUGAAAUGAGAGUAGAAACAUACUGAAAUAGAUUUGUCUUUGCUAAUUAAAGGUAUUUUUAAUGUUGAAUCUGCAUAAUAAUAAAGUUCAAAGGUAAGAGGAAAAAAAUCUUGCCAAUUAUUACAUUACAAAUUUCACCUGAUUGGACAUAACUAAAAUGGCUCAAAUUUAUGACAACCUUCUAUUAAAAAAAGGUGAUUUAAUAGUCAAUAAAACAGGAGUAUAACAGUUUGUACUAUGAUAGGAAAUUCCCUUCAUCAUUUAUCUGUUUUUGAACUAAAGUGAUAUCAGUGGAAAAUGCUUUCCUCAGAAUUUGUCUUCAAAUUGUGCUUAAUUAACACAAAGACAUGUAUAUAUUUAAUAUUAUUAUGUAUAAUAGUAAUUAUUUCAUACAAAAUGAAUAAAUUUGGUAUACAAAGAUUAA